GACGAACGCUGGCGGCGUGCUUAACACAUGCAAGUCGAACGCUGAAGCCCAGCUUUCGUUGGGUGGUUGAGUGGCGAACGGGUGAGUAACACGUGAAUAACCUGCCCUCUUCUUUGGUAUAACGCCCGGAAACGGGUGCUAAUACUGGAUAUUCACUGACCUUCGCAUGGGGGUUGGUGGAAAGGUUUGUUCUGGGGGGGGAUGGGCUCGCGGCCUAUCUGCUUGUUGGUGGGGUGGUGGCCUACCAAGGCUUUGACGGGUAGCCGGCCUGAGAGGGUGACCGGUAAGAUUACGGGUGAGAUUCGGCCCAGAAUCCGACGGGAAGCAGCAGGGGGGACAGUUGUGCAAUGGGUGAAAGCAUGGUGCCGCGACGCAGCGAGAGGGAUGGAGGCCUUCGGGUUGUACACCUGUUUCGAUCAUGGUUACGCCGGGACAGGGGUUGUAGUGACGGUAGUGGGUAAAGAAGCGCCGGCUAACUACGUG
rnacentral:rRNA from 1 species